UACGAAGGGUGCAAGCGUUACUCGGAAUUACUGGGCGUAAAGCGUGCGUAGGUGGUGAGUUAAGUCUGUCGUGAAAGCCCCGGGCUCAACCUGGGAAUGGCGAUGGAUACUGGCUCGCUAGAGUGCGAUAGAGGAGAGUGGAAUUCCUGGUGUAGCGGUGGAAUGCGCAGAUAUCAGGAGGAACACCAACGGCGAAGGCAGCUCGCUGGGACGGUACUGACGCUAAGGCGCGAAAGCGUGGGGAGCGAACAGG
rnacentral:rRNA from 1 species